AUGAUUUUGACAUGCUCCGGUAAUAAAAUUCAUAAGAAAUUUACGAUUUCGAUUUAGAAUCGCAAAAUCGUAAAAAUUGGGCACUUUCGUCUGGUCGGAAUGAAAAGUAAAUGCCAUAAGACCAUUCUGACACUUAGUUAUUUUAUAAAAAAUUUAUUUCUGACCCCACCUCAGAGUUGACAGGAAUUUUGCCGUCUCCAAGAAAAUUUUCGAUUUGGAAAGGGGCCGAUAAGUACGCCGCCAAAAGCUAUCGCGAAGGUUGCCGUACUGUUGGUGAAACGAGAAAGGCAAGUAAAAACACUUAUAAUAUAUACAAGAAUUUAUUCAUAAAUUUAAAGGAGGGUCAAAAGUGCUGAUCGUAAAUAAUGCUAUAUAAUUUAAUAACUUAAAUGGACAAAGUGCAGUAAAAAAUUAAUUACGAACAUUUUAAUUAAAGCUGUGAAAAAUGUGGCCGCUCUAUUGUUUGGAAAAACAGUUUAAACAGCUGUUUAUUGUUUACAAGACAUUCCGAUAGCAAACAUUUUGCGAAAAUCAAAGCACCUAAAAACGAAAUCAAAAGAUUUUACCCAAAUCGCAAUAGAACAAAAUUACGACUAGCGGAGUAUGCCUGAUAGAUAGAAAUUAACAAGACAAACAAUGAAAUAAAAGGACUCCAAAACAUUUUCGAAACUGUGGGCACGACAAUAUGUUCUGCGAGCGAAAAUAGAUUUAAUAUAAAAAUAAAAACAAGAAUGAGAGUCUAGUUCCUCGACUAUCCGAUACCAUAGCUGAGUAGUGGAAAUACGAUCGCGAAAUUUCAAAAUUUGUCUUAAUAUCUUAAUAUUGAUCAAUGAAAUGAGAAAAUUUAUUUUCAAAUAUUUGUUUAGAGUUUUUUGUAGGUGUAAGGACGGGCUUGUCUAAAGUGUUUUAGGUUCUAUUGAUUCUGACAAAAAAUAAAAGAACUGUUACCUGCCAGAGGAUGUUCGGAAUUAAAACAUACAAAGGUGCUUUGUUACAUCUGCCGGCGUUUUUCAACUCGUUCAAGCUGCGACGCAAAAGAAACCACGAAAAGGUGAGUGCGAUUAGGCGCAUGGUUUUUUUUUUUUAUAUAAAUGGCAUAAGUUCAUGUGUUAUUUCAGUGCUCUCUACCAACAGAUGAGAACAGGGUAGCAUCAAAAAGAUGCUUGCAGACGUGCAAAAUGAAAAGCGAGACCCGUUUAAACUAAAACGAACAAAGAUAGAAAUAAAAACCAGUUUUAAUGGGACUAAUGAUAAUAUAGUCGUUUCUCUCGCACGCAUCUACCAGCCACCUGAGGUAGAUUGAAUUCUAUAGGGCGAGCAAAAAGAGAGUUGCAAAGUAGCAACGCUUAACGACAAAAAUAACGGUCAAAGCUAUACAAACAAUGUCAUACAGCCUGCCUUAAAAAAAAAAAAAAAACGGCACAACCUAAGGCAUGAGUUUUGUUUUUCUAUUACUUUUUAAACUUUAACAUAUAACUACUUCAAAAUAAUAUCUACAUAUGUGUUCAUCGAGACGGCAAGAGGUAGUAUUUUUAGCAAUGAUAAUAUAGAUAUAAGUGUACAAAUUUAUACUGUUAAUUUUAAGCUUCGAGCUUUAAGCUAUCGAACGGGUGUAAAAGGCAAGACACGAAAUUUUAUGUCUGGUGAGGACCGAAGCAAAGCAACAGACGAGGUAGCAAAGACAGCUGAAAUAAAGCAGCACAAAAAAAGAGCGGCAACUUGAAUGCUGCACACGCAUACACGCACAUAGACUUUUGCGCAAUUGGGUUGUCGUCCGCAUACACUCAACGCAAUACUCCGCCGCUACACACACACACAAAUAAUUCAUGUUGCCGUUUGCCGGCCGGAGAAAGAGCGAGAAGGCACCAUGACGCCGCGCCAAAUUAAACGGCGUCGGUUUUUGCGCGCACACCGUUUUGCCUUUGGCGGGAACGAGACAACUACAUUAGUGCCGAGAAGCGUUUUGCGUAUAUAGACACAGAAUUCAAAAGAAAAUUUCCAAAUGUUUGCGGCAAAUAACAUAGAUUUUCAUUUGCAAAAUUCGCUACAAGUCCAUUGCUUAAACAAAAUCCAAAAACGUCCGAAAACAAGGCAAACAAAGUACUCACUUCUUUUGCUCAGCCACAUCAGCCAUUUUGAAUUACUGUUAGAUAUAACUUUUCAAAGGCAAAGCGAGAAAACACGUUGUAAUUGAGGGUUUUUGGAUCACCAAGCACGACUUGAAUAU